rnacentral:tRNA from 1 species
UCAGGUUUUACUUGGUUACGGAGAGCACUAGACUGAAGAUCUAGGUGUCCGGGGUUCAAAUCCCCGCACUCCCA